UGGGCAGAUACUGACGCUCAGAUGCGAAAGCGUGGGGAGCAAACAGGAUUAGAUNCCCUGGUAGUCCNCGCCGUAAACGAUGUCUNCUUGGAGGUUGUGGCCUUGAGCCGUGGCUUUCGGAGCUAACGCGUUAAGUAGACCGCCUGGGGAGUACGGUCGCAAGAUUAAAACUCAAAUGAAUUGACGGGGGCCCGCACAAGCGGUGGAGCAUGUGGUUUAAUUCGAUGCAACGCGAAGAACCUUACCUACUCUUGACAUCUACAGAAGCCAGCGGAGACGCAGGUGUGCCUUCGGGAACUGUAAGACAGGUGCUGCAUGGCUGUCGUCAGCUCGUGUUGUGAAAUGUUGGGUUAAGUCCCGCAACGAGCGCAACCCUUAUCCUUGUUUGCCAGCACUUCGGGUGGGAACCCCAGGGAGACUGCCGGUGAUAAACCGGAGGGGGGUGGGGACGACGUCAAGUCAUCAUGGCCCUUACGAGUAGGGCUACACACGUGCUACAAUGGCGCAUACAGAGGGCGGCCAACUUGCGAAAGUGAGCGAAUCCCAAAAAGUGCGUCGUAGUCCGGAUUGGAGUCUGCAACUCGACUCCAUGAAGUCGGAAUCGCUAGUAAUCGUGGAUCAGAAUGCCACGGUGAAUACGUUCCCGGGCCUUGUACACACCGCCCGUCACACCAUGGGAGUGGGCUGCAAAAGAAAUGGGUAGUUUAACCUUCGGGAGGACGCUCACCACUUUGUGGUUCAUGACUGGGGUGAAGUCGUAACAAGGUAGCCG
rnacentral:rRNA from 1 species